CGCAUGUGCUGGCUUCUAAUGAAUGUCGCUGUGAUAAGCGCUAUGUCAUUAGCUGUGUCUCUCUUGUGAUCCAAUAAGUUCUAACAAACUGUGAAGUGUGUAUAACACAAUGGCCGUUUGACAGCUACAGCAAUGUUUGCGGUUUCUAACCUGCUACAGAGGACGAUUAAAACUGAAAACAGUGCAAAACUUACCGUGUUGCUUGAUAAAGAAUGAGUGAUUGGCGCCGAUAAUGGUGAAUUCAUAUGUUUUGUGUUAAACUGCUCAAAAGGUGACAGGUCACUUUGCCAGAUGUUUAAAAGUACUCAUCAGUGAAUCAAAAAGAAGUGACACCUGUUUGAGUACUGCUCACAGUAGGUGCGAAGAUAAUCUUCUUACGUAGUGUUAAAGCAUCCCCCAUUGUUUUAAUCUAUGAUCCAGAUCACAAGGAUUAGUGACACUGCAGGAAACAAAGGAGAAUUAAAGCCACCCAUGAUGAUUCAGGUUUCACGUGCUUGAAUAAUUUGGGCCAUAUCUUAUCUUGGAAAAUUUAAGAUUUUAAGAUUUGUCUUUCAGUAUUCUCUUAAAUACAGAAAAAUUAAUUCCAGCGAACAUAGUUUUGGAGAAAACCCACGAAAAUAAAUUCCAGAGAAUAAUAAGGACUUUACAGUAAUCCAUUGUGUUCCAAGUUCAACUGCUUGAACAUUCCGUCUUAUUCCUCAGUAUUUUAAUCUCAGAUGUGUUUGUGUUUCCAUCACACUUGUAUAUUCUUUUAGAUCAUGUUACAUGAAUGUCUAUUUUACGCCUGUGUCACUUUUGUGUUUAAGUUUUAUACAUGUAAACUAUGUCCAGAAAAUCUAUGCUAAGCUUAACUCUUUGUACAGAAACUAUAUUAUUCUGGUUCCCAAAACCAUUAACUAGGCCAUCAUAUGGCUAUAAACUUGUCAUGUGUUACCAAUGCAGAUUCUAAUCAACAUACUGCUUCAGUUAUUUUUCCUCAGUUCUGUUAGUAUUUGUGUAUUAUUUCAAUCUCAUGGCUGUAUUAAAAUCAUACAAAAUUUCCAGGUUCUAAACAUAUUUUGUUUUCAUGUUCACACAUCUGUGGCUUGUGCAUAGCUGUAUAUAUGUACAUCUUUUACAUGUUGAAUUUUUGUUAUUUCCCCCCCCCCCCCCUAAAAUGGCUUUUGUUGCUCUCUGGCAUCAGUAUGCUCAUGUAUUGCAGCUUCUAUUAUCAGCAGCCUCUAUGGUUAAACUUUGUAGCUUAUGUCGUACCCCGGGCGUCAGCAUCUGCAUCUGAUAAUGGAGAAAAUGAUGUUAAACAAAAUGUUAGGAGGUGGUAUCUUAAGAAGUACUGCAGGUAUUGAGCUCAGGGUUUGCACACUUGUAGAGCACAGUAUAGGGUUGGUAUCUUACAAAGUAUGUCAUGUAUUGACCUGAAGUUUUACAUACAUAUAAAUCUCCUUGAGCAUAUUAAUUACUGUAAAUUACCAAAUUCACGAUUUCAGUUCUUUAUGCAUUGGGCCGAAGUUUUGCCUUCAUGUGUCUCAUACAGGCGAGCCCUUUGGUAGCAAUUAUAAGUUUAGCAUAACAUGUUGUUGUUCAUUUGUUUUUAUUGCAUUCUUACACCAUUACACUUUUUCUGUAAGCCUCAUACUGUUUGUGUUGCUCAUACAUGCUCUUGAUUAAAGCCUUCUCUUAUAAUAUAUCGAUAGUGUGCCAAUUGUUUUAUGACCAGAGGCUUGGUCAUUUUCCUAACUAAUCUAAAGUAUGCAACUAAUCGUUGCAUACUUCAUUGUUAUCACAUUGAUUAAAUGAUGUAAAGUUUAUCUUAAAUACAAAUCUCUUAUAACAUUACUUGAGUUUCCUUUUAUCAUACAUGUAGUAUGUGUUCGGUGAAAAAAAGCAUAAUUUACAUGUACCUUUUUUUAAAUUUCAGGUUUACUUAUCCUCAGCAUUCUUGUCAAUAUGGGGUAGGCCAAUCUUUUCACCUUUUAUGCAACAUUGAUUCAUUCAAAGGCAUCUUCAAGAUCCUUGUCAACCAUGAUGCAAGCCAAGUGCUGACAUUCACCUUUCGUAAAACACAAGUACAUAUCCUCUCCAUUCCUCCCACGAGUACAACAGAAGACAACAUUUUGGGGUGACUAGAGACAGAUAAAUCCAUCAUCUGCAAUUAAUCCUGCCAUCUUUGAUGAACACUUCACACUUCAUUUUAUAUUUUCACCAUUUGUGACGCAAACCUUGUUUCUGCACAGGUAGUCUAAAUCACCUCUGUUGAGGCUUGUUGUCUCAAUUGGUUUUAAUCUCGGUGCAUGCAAUACAAUCCAUCAGUUUUCUUGUAAAUCAUCACUUCAUUCGAAUAAAGUUUGUCAUUUGAUUUAAAAUAAUAAUCGAAUAUAAUA